AUUGGGAACCCAUGAAUCUACAAACAAAAUACAUUCGUAAGUGCUCAUUUUUGUAUAUGUUGACCAGACCAUUAUGUUACAUGCAACAUCAUCCCUAAGUUUCAGCCUUCAUUCACGAUUUUUCAGCAAAUGGACAACUAGGCCAAUUAUCCCUCCCCCCAAACCUGCCAUUUUUCUUUCUUUCUUUCUUUUUCCAGUAACUUUGACGUCAGUGCUUCAAGGAAAACAUGGUUGAUCAAGCAAUUUUUGGUUGCUAGUAGCUGUAAACAGCAAUUAAAGAUGGCCAUUGGUCAACAAGAUAAAUUAAAUACAAUACCAUUUUUCAACCAGCAGUCCUAUAAACGUAGGCGCCAUAGGUCGUGAUGUCUCGGCUAGAAUCUAGCAAAGGGGAUGAAUGUAUCUUCACGGGGCGCGAAUGGCUCCGGAAGGCCUCUGAUUCCGAGAAGAUGAUGGAAUCAUACCAUCAGGACGGCUGUGUCUUGAUCUGGUACCAGCUGGAUCUGAGCAGCGCCGAGCCAUUGCAAGAAGAGCACGUCAGGAGAGCUGUUGCUCACCUGUACAGGAAGGUUCCAAGUCUGAACGUAUGGUUAUGGUACCUUUGAGGACGAGAUAUGGUUCAGAAGGGCUACAACCAGAGA